rnacentral:lncRNA from 1 species
UCUCUUGAAGGCAUUAUCUGGGUGCUCCCCAGCCAAGGACAUCCCCCUCUGUGCAGACCUCCCUGUCUCCUCCACCUGGGUUUGGGGGCCUGCAGGAGAGCUCUGGGAAGGGCUCCUCACUCCCUCUCACCUUGUCCUGCAGCAAGAAACAGCAGCAGCCAGCUCCUGUCUCCUCCCAGGCAGCGGGAAGCACCAGAGACUUCCCUGGAGAGCAGCUCAAAGCCGAGACUGGCCUGCUCUGUCCCUGUCCUGGAGCCCCUCCAAGGGCCAUCAUCUCCAUUAGUGAGCAUCUCCAAGUGCUCGCAGAGCCCCGUGUGGAGCUGCUGGCUCGAAGCUUGAUGCACAAGUGCUGUUUUCCCUGGGCUGCCCUGUGCCUAAUGCAGCCAGCACUGCCUUCUUCCCUCGUGUUUUGCUCUCCUUCAGCCCCAUAAUGUUGUUAUCCCUCACCACCUGACAGCUCCAGUGCCUGGCCAAAGGUAAAUUUUGGGGGAAGGGGGGUUGGGGUUGAAGUGAAUCCAUCACACAGAUUUACCAGGGCUAACUGAGUUCCUGGUGCUCAGAAUGGAUGCUCUGCCCUAAUAGACAGGGCAUGGAUUUCACUGCCAGGCAGCUGCAUUAAGGCAGUGGAUGGCAGCUCCUGGAGACAUCUGAGCUCUGGCUGGAGAUGCUUUAACCUGUCCUGGCCAAUGUGUCAGUGUCUGGUCGCAGGAUGCAAUAAUAACUAUCUCAGCUGUGCCCUGGAGGCUCGGCACCUCCUGAUAACCUGCCCUUAUCAGCAGUGGAAGCAAACACAGGGAAGCUGGAGCAGCCAGGCAGGAGCAAGGGAGGAGCCCACGAGUUAAUCCACAACUGCUCAGCCCAGACUGCCACACACCAGCGCCUCUGAGGGAUCCCUGGCAGGCAGCACAGGCAGGCUGUGGACAACUGAAUUAGCAAAACAUCUGGAAUCCUUCCAGAGGGCUGCCAGGGAGCUGCAGGACUGGUGGAUGAUGCUCAGGGAGGGCGGCUGAUCCCCCCAAACCAUCCCAGGGAGCAGCACUGAGUCAGGGUUUUUUCUCUUUUCAAGUCUAAACUGGGUGAAAACUCCACCUUUGGACCUCCAGGUCCCAGCAGAGCCCCCAGGAUCCUCACUUCCAUGACAUUUGAGAUGGUUCCCAUUGGACACCAGGCCCUUUCCUGGGUGGGUGUAGCACGCUGAGCUGCCUGGCUACUCCUCAGCACAAGGAGCUGAAAGCAAAUCUGAGAAAAAUAGAAGGAAAAGGAGAAUCUGUGGGCCACUGACAUCUUUCCUGCUAUCUCCAAGCAUCUUUGAAAGACUUUCUCUUCCUUUGACAGAGCCAGCCAGCUCUUCAUCUGGGAACUGCACGAGUCUCAGGCAGCUUCAAAGCUGGAUGGCUGCAUUCACAUUCCCAGCUGCGAGGACUUUCAGAG